UGCCAGCAGCCGCGGUAAUACGGAGGGGGCUAGCGUUGUUCGGAAUUACUGGGCGUAAAGCGCACGUAGGCGGUGUAACAAGUUAGAGGUGAAAGGCCUGGGCUCAACCUGGGAACUGCCUUUGAUACUGUUACACUAGAGUCCGGGAGAGGGUAGCGGAAUUCCAAGUGUAGAGGUGAAAUUCGUAGAUAUUUGGAAGAACACCGGUGGCGAAGGCGGCUACCUGGACCGGCACUGACGCUGAGGUGCGAAAGCGUGGGGAGCGAACAGGAUUAGAUA
rnacentral:rRNA from 1 species